rnacentral:lncRNA from 1 species
UUGGUUCUCAUCAUGAGGAUGGUCUCGAGUGAAAGAUCUAGAAGAUCGAGCGGAAGCUUAAGACAUUCUGGGAGAGAGAUCGGAGGCAUGAUGAGUCCCUCAGUUUUAAUUUACACCCAUCUUUCUCUCAAAGGAUAUUGGAGGAACCAAUUCCAUCUCGAUUCAAAAUGCCAUAAGUGUAACUGUACAAUAGCUCCUUAGAUCUACUAGACC